ACCAAGAGUGGUUAGUUAGUUAUUACAGUGUCUUUAUGGCUAACAAGGGAGGGAGGAAGAGGGGGGAGGAGGAGGAGGAGGUGAAGCGGAAAGCAGUGAGGCACAAAGGAACGAUUUCUUUUACAGGCGUUGUGGAGGUAAGACGUGUGAGCCAAGAAAUGUUUCUGCAUAGUGCUUGUAACUAAUGUGAUUAACGUUGUAAGCUUUUAUUAUCUUGGUUUAGUGUUAUUCUUCUCGUGGCGUUGGUGUUGUAGGUAUGUUAGACACUGUACAGUGGUUCUGGUGUUGGUGUGUGUGCCUGACAUUUCGUGGAGUUCUUUUGUGUUUAUAGUGCAUUACGUUUAUUUAAUUAGUUAAUCCGCACUGGAAGUUGCCGUUCAGUAAUGAAAUAACGUUAGUGUUCUAUUAAUGGAAAGCGCCUCGUAACAUGUUUUAAGAAAAAAAGGUUAAGCGCAGCACAUGCUCACGACUCCGUGGCUUGGGUGUGCAUUGAUAGCGAGGCUGCAAGCCGCAAGGUACUGCUCGCAACCGUGGUGUAGGCGUGUCCACGACAGGGCUUGGGUGUGCAUUGAUAGCAAGGCUGCAAGGUGCUUUCAGUGGCUCUUUGGUCUCCUUAGUAUAUCUCUGCCUCCCCUCACUGAGCAGCGGCGUGGGUGUAGGCCAAGGUCUGUUACGAACUUGUACUGGUAUGAACUACGUGUAGGGUUGUUAGGUUAGUGGGAUAUUGGUAGGGUUGUUAGGUUAGUGGAAUAUUGCGUUGUGUGAGUGAGGUGUUGAGUGCCUUAACGUUUCAUCCCUGUUUCAUAGAUACUGUGAACCAGUGUACCGUUAAAUGUAAACCUCAAACAAGUAUUAGUGCUGAAACGUCACGGCACCCCACAUUUUGUUUAAUUAAUGUUUUUGAAUGAGUAAGGGUUUUGUGUGAAAGCUUUAAAAUGGCUGUGUAGUAAUAUUUUGUGGGCUGUAAAGUUAUCCAUGAUUGUCACUAUCUGGUGCAGUAAGUGUAAGAAUAAUCUAAUUGUACAUUUCGGCGUGUUGUGGUGCACAUGCUAGGUACAGCACCAUACUAGUGAAGUCUUAAGUAAUACACGCGGUUGCAUUGAAUUUGAUCAUAAUGUGCAAUUUGUUCCCAAAUCAAAGGGGUUUGAUUUGCCAUAAACAAUAACUUAAUGACACAGCAGGUGAAGGAGCAAGUGAAGGAUGUUUCUUGCGAUUGAUAUUAUAAUUGGUGACUUUGUUGCAGAAGUGUAUACAAGGGAGAAGGUCGGGUCAUGCCGGCCACCCCCUAAACGUGGGCUAAUAUGUCUCGGGCGUUAAUCAGGAGAUGGAGCACGUCCAGCCGCAUCGAGAAGUGGAGGAAUGUAGACAACUACAAGGAGACAAUGUGCAGCAGCAGAGCACCCAGACUGGAAAACCCGAGGAAGGAAGCGGAAGUACAGACGGAGAAGAAUGAAGACCAGCAGGAAGUAGUGGAAGUUGGAAGAGGAUGAUGUUCAUGAGCUACCGAUCCAAAGGCCUGGCACCGGAGUGAUUCCGAGCCACCUGUAGCAUAAAGAUGAAUAUCAAGCAAGUUUGACACCGGGCGUUCUUGUCUGCACAUUACCAUCUUGGUGUAGAACCACAUCUGUUUUACCCGAGCGAACUCGCCAAAUACAGCGGCGCUCGAGUCCGACCUGUACCCUCCCAAGAGAAGCCCCGGCAUCUUGCUACUACUCGUGUGUCCAUGUGAUAGCAGUCCAUUUCCAGGUCCUCCUCCGGUCCGGUCCGGCACAAGUAGGGGCUGGGCUGUUUCAAGUUCAUUGGAAGCGUCUUGCCGCCACUGAAUGGAGAACCAAACCAGCUUGUCCUAACCCCCGUCAGGAAACUGGCUCUUGCACUGGAAGACGCCAGCGUGUCUUAACCCCCGGCAGGAAACAGUCUCGCCGCACGUUCCACGGAGGAAUUAGAUCCUGCCUUCCACUAGCUCUGCCAUGACAUGGUGCCAUCCAGGGUGAGAGGACACUGCUUCGCUGCACCUUCCACGGAGGAAUUGGACCCUGGCCUGACAGCCCAUGGUGCCAUCCAGGGAGGGAAGACGCUGCCUCAUUGCACUUUCCAUGGAGGAAUUGGACCCUGCCCUGACAACCCAUGGUGCCACACGCGGGAGGACACACUGCCUCGCUGCACCUUCCACAGGAAUUUGACCCUGCCCUAACAACCCAUGGUGUCAUCCAGGGAUGGAUGACAGACUGCCUUGCUUCAUGUAACCUAACAAAUACACGUUGCCAAUCA